rnacentral:rRNA from 1 species
AUUGAACGCUGGCGGUAGGCCUAACACAUGCAAGUCGAACGGCAACACCAUAACAGUUGGCGCCUAGUGGUGACGAGUGGCGGACGAGUGCGGAAUACACCGGGAUCUAGUGGUUAGCUGGGGGUAAGGUAGGGAAAUAUACGAUGAUAUCUAAUACGGACUACGGGUGAAAUCAGGGCAUCUUCGGACCUUACCCGCUUAAAUGAGCCGAUGUCGGAUUAGGUAGUUGGCGGGAUAAAGGCCCACCAAGGCGACGAUCCGUAGCUGGUCUGAGAGGACGAUCAGCCACACUGGAACUGAGACACGGCCCAGACUCCUACGGGAGGCAGCAGUGGGGAAUAUUGGACAAUGGGCGCAAGCCUGAUCCAGCAAUGCCGCGUGGAGGAUGAAGGCCUUCGGGUUGUAAAGUGCUUUUGUUCGGAAAGAAAAGCACUAGUCUAAUACAGGACGGUUCUGACGGUACCCAAAGAAUAAGCACCGGCUAACUUCGUG